AGCUCCGAGAAAUGCUAGAUUGCAAAUCUGGAGAAGCUGAUUAGUUGUCGGCCGGGGCUU
rnacentral:tRNA from 1 species